rnacentral:rRNA from 1 species
UACGAAGGGGGCAAGCGUUGUUCGGAAUUACUGGGCGUAAAGGGCGCGUAGGCGGUGCACUAAGUCAGGCGUGAAAGCCCUGGGCUCAACCCGGGAAUUGCGCUUGAUACUGGUGCGCUUGAAUCCAGGAGAGGUUGGUGGAAUUCCCAGUGUAGAGGUGAAAUUCGUAGAGAUCGGGAGGAACAUCUGUGGCGAAGGCGGCCAUCUGGACCAGCACUGACACUGAGGCACGAAAGCGUGGGGAGCAAACAGG